rnacentral:tRNA from 1 species
GCCUGGGUGGCUCAGUCGGUUGAGCGUCCGACUUCAGCUCAGGUCACGAUCUCGCGGUCCGUGAGUUCAAGCCCCACGUCGGGCU